rnacentral:rRNA from 1 species
GACGAACGCUGGCGGCGUGCUUAACACAUGCAAGUCGAACGGAAAGGCCCUGCUUUUGUGGGGUGCUCGAGUGGCGAACGGGUGAGUAACACGUGAGUAACCUGCCCUUGACUUUGGGAUAACUUCAGGAAACUGGGGCUAAUACCGGAUAGGAGCUCCUGCUGCAUGGUGGGGGUUGGAAAGUUUCGGCGGUUGGGGAUGGACUGGCGGCUUAUCAGCUUGUUGGUGGGGUAGUGGCUUACCAAGGCUUUGACGGGUAGCCGGCCUGAGAGGGUGACCGGCGACAUUGGGGCUGAGAUACGGCCCAGACGCGUACGGGAGGCAGCAGUGGGGAAUAUUGCACAAUGAGCGGAAGCCUGAUGCAGAAGCGCCGCGUGCGGGAUGACGGCCUUCGGGUUGUAAACCGCUUUCGCCUGUGACGAAGCGUGAGUGACGGUAAUGGGUAAAGAAGCACCGGCUAACUACGUG